rnacentral:lncRNA from 1 species
CAUAUACGCGCACCAUUCGACAAUUCCAGUAACCAUGUGAUUUUGUAGAAGAGCGUAUAGGAGAUGCAGAUAAUCAGAAGAGCUAUUUGUCUUUGUGAGGCUGGGAUGCACCAGGAAAGAACACGUAACGAGGUGUAAAUCAUCAGGUACGAAGGGAUUCGGUUCAGGAUCCAGCAGCAGCAAUUUCCUCAGACGGACGGAUCGAAUUAGGCAGCCAGCCAUCCUCUGCGCAACAGAAAUUUUCUGUUGAAGU